rnacentral:sRNA from 1 species
GGAAUUCGUGGGGCAUCCUCCUCCUCCUCCCAAAUGCCCCUCGAUAGGUCGGUGAUCCUCCUCCUCCUCCCAAAUCACCGGCCAACCAAAAUGACGCUCACCGGAUCCUCCUCCCCCGGUGAGCGUUAUUU